rnacentral:tRNA from 1 species
GAGGGUAUAACUCAGCAGUAGAGUGCUUGCUUAGCAUGCAUGAGGUCCUGGGUUCAGUCCCCUUACCUCCA